GACGAACGCUGGCGGCGUGCUUAACACAUGCAAGUCGAACGGAAAGGCCCUGCUUGCAGGGUACUCGAGUGGCGAACGGGUGAGUAACACGUGGGUGAUCUGCCCUGCACUUCGGGAUAAGCUUGGGAAACUGGGUCUAAUACCGGAUAGGAGCCAUCUUUAGUGUGGUGGUUGGAAAGUUUUUUCGGUGUAGGAUGAGCUCGCGGCCUAUCAGCUUGUUGGUGGGGUAAUGGCCUACCAAGGCGGCGACGGGUAGCCGGCCUGAGAGGGUGUACGGCCACAUUGGGACUGAGAUACGGCCCAGACUCCUACGGGAGGCAGCAGUGGGGAAUAUUGCACAAGGGGCGCAAGCCUGAUGCAGCGACGCCGCGUGGGGGAUGAAGGCCUUCGGGUUGUAAACUCCUUUCGCUAGGGACGAAGCUUUUUGUGACGGUACCUAGAUAAGAAGCACCGGCUAACUACGUG
rnacentral:rRNA from 1 species